AAACUUUGACAAAGUAACGGUGAAAAAUUGAAUUUUUGGUGAGUGGGUGAAUGAGAAAGUGAGGAAAUCUCUCUAAAAUGCUCUUGAAAGUGAAAGAAGGGUGCUAGGACUUAGGGAGACCGCUCAGGCGAAAUGCAAAGAAGGGUUUCAACGUGAAAAAUGUGAAAAACCGCUCAGCUUUUAAGCAAAGCCAAACCCCUCAGC
rnacentral:lncRNA from 1 species